CACGUAGAAGACUAGUGUUAUUCAUCUUUAAUCGGUAUAAAGGGUACCUAGACAGUAUACCAACCUUAAUAGGGACUAGUAUUCUAGAGUUUUAUGUGGGAAUAUACGAAUUACCAGAGGAGAGUCAAAAUUCUAUUAUACUGGUAGGACGGGUAACGGCAAAGGCUAUAUUCUAAGUAAAAACUGACGUUGAGGGACGAAGCCUUGGGCAGCGAUAAGG
rnacentral:rRNA from 1 species